rnacentral:lncRNA from 1 species
AAGGAUCCCAUCACGGGCCACCAAUCUUCCUGCAGCGGUUGUGGCUCCUCCAGAUAAGAAACUAGAGUGCUGGAAAACGCCUUUCUUCUUCUUCCCUACGUAUAAGGUUCUAGUCGUGCUAAGUACAAAUAUGGACUUUGAUUCAUCAGUUGAGUUGAUCAGAUCCAUGCUUUGUUUGUACAUUAGUCUCCCAUCUUCCACUAUCACUUCAUAUGCUUCUCUCUCCAUCUGAACGUUUGAAGAAACCACAAAGAGUGAUGAGUAAUCAAGAAGGUAAACCUAGCUAACUAGUACUCCUGUAAGAAACUCACUGGUCCGAGAUAACUGAUGCAUUGUUUCUGCAGAACACUUCUUGGGUGUUUCUCAAGAUUUACGUCUUUUCCGUCUCCUAUAUCCAACCUUUAGUUUCAAAUGAGUUGAAACGGAGUUUAAAACAGAUUCAAAAACAAAAAGAUCUAAGAUGAAUGUUUGGUUCUAACACUAACCAGUAAAAGAAUGGCUGUGAGCUCUUGCUCUCUGACCAGACAUCAUAAUAGAAGUGCAAGUUGUGGCCAUAACGAUGACGUGGGUCAAUCUGUUGAUAAAAGAAAAGACGAUCAGAUUAGAUUCCCAACAUCAAAGAGGAACCUAUAACUUUGACCUUGUGUUCUACUACCCAAUUUCCAUGACUUAAAUCUAGGUGCACCAAUAAUCUAGAUAGUUCUUUUAGGAUUAAAAAAAAAAACACUUCUAGUAAUAAAUAUAACUUCCUAUAGAAAAAAAUAUAUUUAAAAGUAUAAAUAGGAAUUAAAAAAAAUUGUAAUUUAUUCAUUCACACAAUCAAUAAACAAAUCCUAAAAAUAGGUGUUUGUAUCAGUCUAAUUGUGCUCUAUAAUUUUUUUUAUUUCCUCGAGUUUAGGUCGCAGAUUCACUUGACAAAAUUCAUCGAUAUGAUUCUUGACAUGUCCUAUCAAUUACCAAAAAGAGGUCAUGGGGACUUACCGCUUCAAGCCAAUGCUGAAGAGCUAAUUUCUGAGCCUUUUCAUCUUUUGACAAGCCUUUCCCAACCUGCAAGAUUGAGACCACAUUUGUUUUUUCAUAAGAGCAUCAUUAUUGGGAGUAUCUAGCUAGUAGGAGUUCUCAAAGUACAAUAAAUUUAUAAUUAUUAUAAAUUAUUAUGUUGGAUAUCUCAAAAUCAUGAGAACCACACACCAGAGUAUCUCAAAGUAUGUUUGGUGUAGAAUUCACGAGAUUUUGAGAUACCUUUAUUUAUCUAUACAUACACAUGUGUUUAUAUUGAUAAUCCCUUGACAUGCUUUAACAAAGAGAAAUAGUGAAACUAAUAACACCUUGACUUAAAAGUAAGCAGAGAGAAAGAACUUGUGAAAAUGAAGUCAGACCUUAGCGGCUCGUGUUCUAGCUCGCACCCAUUUUGAAGCAGCGGGCUCAUGUUUCUCUUCUUCAAAGAAAGACACAGAGCUCAGGUCCAGAGUUGCAGCAUCAAGAGUCUUCCACCUAUAACGUUACAAGCAAUAACAACAGUUAAGUUAAAUCAUCUUUAAAAAACAUUAAAAAGAUGAAAAUGGUUUGUGCAACUCACCAGAGCUCCUCAACGACGACAGCACAAUCUGCUAAGUUCCUUCUUGUACGGUAACUCUUGUACACCUUUUGUAGCGUAGUUGCAGCUGCAUCAAGCUCGGUGACCGGUCUAGGUGAGAAGAACACAAAAGGCUCAGGUGGAGUUACUGUGGGUUUCUUUAUUUGGAUUCUCUCACAGUUUCUCCCGUUCAAAGUGUUAUGAGUUGACUUCUUUGUCUCAAGAACCUUAAAACCUGAAUCAUUUUUUGUUUCCUCAGUAUUUGAGCUCAAUUUGUGAGCUGCAGCAUCCAAACUCUUCUGCCUACAACAUUUGAAGCAACACUUAGAUUAGUGUAAACAUCUUUAUAAGACAUCACAAGAAGAAGAUCAAUCAAGUAACUCACCAAAGCUCCUCUACAAGGACAGCACAAUCUGCUAAGUUCCUUCUUGUCCGGUAACUCUUGUACACCUUUUGUACGGUAGUUGCAGCUGCAUCAAGCUCGGUGACCGGUCUAGGGGAGAAGAACACGAAAGGCUCAGGUGGAGUAAUCGUAGGUUUCUUUAUUUGGAUUCUCUCACAGUUUCUUCCAUUCAAAGUGCUAGGCGUUGACUUCUUUGUCUCCCAGACAUCAAAAUUUGAAUCAGUCUUGGUAUCUUCAGGAACCUCCCAGCUGUUGAAACUCAACGACCGCUGCAUAGUUGGUUUCCGAUUAAUCUUAGGAGAGUUCUGGUGAGUAGUGUUAUCUCUAUUGAAACUGUUGGUUCUUGAAGUCAAGCCUCCGUCUUUAAUUUUCAAGCUAAGGGAGCCAACUUCAAGACCCAUGGACACAAUAAAGCCAGAGGAUACUUCCAAAAUAUAUUAAUAUAGAAACCUCCUGUACACGUCAAUACAGAUGAGUAUCAGCCUUUAAUUUAAUUGAAAUAAAACUAUAGUCUUAUUAAUAGUAGCUACACCAACCAAACAUUGAUAAAAACAUAUCGUCCAGACAUCCCGACAAAUACCUUUUGUUAAGUGAUUAGUAGAUAGAAGAACCAAAACAAAUGGCACCAAGAGAAAGAUGAGCUACAAACAAUUAAAAGAAUUUUAAAACAAUGUGGAGAAAUCUUUUCUUAAUUCUCCAAUUUUGUGUAGAUUGCUGUAGUCCAGCGGUAUAGUGUGCAACAACUCGUUCAGUUCAAAAAAAAAAAACAAUGUGGAGAAAAAGGAAACGAGGGAUUUGAAUAAUUGAAUAUGUCCAACAUAGGUUGAAGAAGACUUAUAUAGCUAUGUAGGCAUAGAUAUGUGUAGUGUGGGCAGUUGGAAGACUAGUAAUAGAGUAAAAGUCUUAAUUACAUAAUCUUUGAAGACGGAAGAUUCAAACUUGGUGUGUCUGAGAAAGAUGAACAUUUGAAUAUUAUAGAAAAGGGUGGGUUAGGAGAAAAUAGAGGAUGUGGGGGUCCUAUUAGAUAUGGAGGCUAUACUGAAGCCUCAAGGUAAGUUCAUGGAAGUUAUUGAGAAAAGGACUAUACACAUGAUCUAUUCCAAUUCUUAAUUAAUGUUAGUGAUUUGAUAUUCUGAGUUUGAUUUUUCCAAUAGAAAUACAACUAACAACUGGUCCUAAAGAUGGUCUUAAAUGUGAUUGGUGUUCAAAACAAAAUGUGUCGUCAAAAGUUAUUGCUCCCUUUUCACACGGACUGAGAAAGUAGCGAAAUAUAUGUAAGUUGAUAUUAAUUACAUCUUUCUGAUCAAUAGUAUUUGAGAUAAAUAAAAUUAUUUAUAAAACCAAUAUAGUUUGCAAUUAAUUUAUAGUUGAAAGUAAGUAUAAUUUGUAUUGGAAUUGCAAAGUGACACUUUUUGUGUAACAUGAAAAAAAUGCUAGUAAAAAAAAAAAAAUAGAAUGAUAUUUAUUAUGAAACAGACAGUAUAUUAUUAUAUUUUUCUUUUUUUCUGUGUGAAUUUAUAUAUUAUUAUUAUUAUUAUAUAUUAUUAUAUCUUUGUCAUGACUUUGUGACUAGUCGAUGCGUGCGGGUCAAGCAUGUUUGUCUAGAGUGCAUGUGGUUUAUAUUGCACUUGUUAGUUGGUUACUAAUGACUUUCUUGGAAUUGAAGGGUUCGAAAUUGAAAACUUUAUUAUGAGAUCAAGUAAAAACAUAGAGGAUAUUCUAUAGUUAAGCGGAAGUAUUUUCGUGUCUAGUCACAAUAUGAAUCUAUUUGUAGAAAAAUGCUCUAAUUUCUGGAAUAUUUGUAAUUGACAAUUUAUUCGUCAACUAAAUGUGAGUUAACUUUACAAAGUAUGCUUCAAUAUUUGUCAAUGUUAAAAAUAAAUGUAGAUUGAUAAGUUUGUUAUAAAUCCAUGAUAUGGAUAUGUGGAUUGCCAUUAACCAUUAAGGAGGUUUACAUCUGACCCGACUAUCCGGUCCGUCUACACCCGUCUCCGGUCCGUCUACAUCCGACCAAGACUAGUCAAGAUGAAGACUCAUUCAACCGGAGCAUUUAUGAGCUUUGACCAAGUCUAGAUAUUUGUAGUCAAAUGUAUUAAAUGUGUAGAUUCUCUCCUUUGUGUAAACCCUUAUGAACCUCCACUAUAUAUUGAUAGUGAGAGCUAAUGAGAAAGACACAACUUUCAAAGCAACACUUCUCUCAUAUUUCUAACACGUUAUCAGCACGAUUGUGCUCUCCACCUGAGAAAUCUCUCUCAGCCGGCGCAAGGCGUAUUGAAGUUGAGCAGGUGAAGUUCAACAGGUGGAUGAAGCCGGAUGAGCUUUAUUCAGAAUAUGUGAGGCUGAGAAGGUCGGUUCUCAGGAGGCUGCAAGAGAUGCAGAAGGUGAGCAUGUUUUUUGCUCUGGCUUCAAGAAGUAUUUGAAGCAACUCUGAAGAUUCUCGGAGUAGUCGAGCACUAGGGUGUUUAGCACUGUCUGGCAUUUCACGAGUUGGCAACAUGGUAGCUGCAGAUAGAGCUGAUUAAUCAUUAAGGUGGAGAUUGUUACGUUGGUGAUGAAGAAUCAGUUAUAUUGGAAGCUUAAACCACACCGAGAUUGAAAAUUGAGUUAUAUGGCGUUUUUGGUUAAACGGCCGACUAAUAUUACUCAAUGGUUUACGGUUAUUGGAAACCGGUUAUCAGUUGUAACUACCCUUGCCUAAUAUAAAAGCAAGGCUCGUGAGUUGUAUUAGAUAUCAGAGAAAGAUAGAUUAUACUAGGGUUACAAACUUUAGGUCACGACCGUUGUGAUCUUGGAAGAGUUUAGUAAUUUGCCUUGCCAGGCCCCAGGGACGUAGCCCCACCGGUGAACUCUUGGUCAUCAAAUAAACUAUGUAUUGAGGUUUAGUCAAGACGACCGGACUUGUUCAAGUUGGGCUAACUUGCACAAGUCACGCGCGUAUGGACUAUGGGCCUAUUUGACAAAGCCCAUUAGGUCAAAUUCUGAUUAUAUUAGUUGGAGAGGUCACGACAGAUGACCUAACACAAGACAGACACAAGUGAAACACAGAGGAGAGGCACGAAAGAGUGGAGCUCGAGAGAGCUCAAGACCAGGGCUUAGUCUGAAGAGAGAGAGCUAGAGAGAACUAGGUUCUCGGUACCCUAGCUAGGCUCUUCCCUAUAUACUUGUAUCUCUAGGUGAUUUGUAACAGAGAUCAAGAGAGGUCAACAUAAACAAUAACCUCUGGAUAUUGUACUCUCGUGUUUUUGAUAUAAUGGAAAGUUGAGAGACCGAUUUCUCUCUCCGGUGAGUAUAGCUCCUUCUUCACAUCGAGGAAGGGAGGUGAACACCGGGUUAACAAAAGUGUCUUGUGUUCCUUCUUAUCUUGCUUGAUUUGUGUUCCGCGUAUUUGAUUAGUGACUAGGUUUGCGAUAAAUAACUACUGUAAGAUUCUAGGAAAGAGAAAAAUUCCCUAACGAUUAUGUUUUGAGCCUAGCUUUUGUUCUUGUUUCAAUAAUUGUGGAUGGUCUCUGUUUUGGUUCGUGACAAAAGUGUCUUUCUAGGUGUUCAUAUGAAGUUCCAAAUGGUGUUAUUUGUGUUAUUAUAUGGUACCGGUUUAGGGUUGUGCGAGCUUUAAGGUUCCGACAAAUUGGUCUUUAGAAUAGGAAGUUGCUUCAAGUCUAUAAACAAGCUUCAUUGACUUGUUUCUGUCCGCAUUUAAAGAUCGGUCCAUUCUUCCCCAGUGGUCACUAUCAUCAUGACAUCUGUUUCAAGUAUUCAACUCUUUCUACGAGACUUUCAUCUUAAGUUUUAGCUUGCCAUAUCUUCUUUUGUUCAUAUCCUUGUAGUUUCGUUUUUGAGUUUCUCGUUUGGCUCCAGAAAGAUUACGAUUCUUAUCAGUUUAUGGCUCAGAAAGGAAUGUGUUUUUUGCGGACUUAUGAACAACAUCCACGUUUUUAUUUAUUCAAAUAUUUGGAUCUAAACAGCCCACAAAACGAUCAUACAAAGAACUACUCGAAACAACAAAAAAUCUUGCAAUUCACGAAAUAUACAAAAGAUAUAAAAGAACAAAGAAAGACGGAGGCUAGCUUCUCCUCUUCUAACCUAUUCUUUCUUGAUUAAACAAGUGUAAGUUUUAGCAUUUCACACCUCUAGGGCUUGGGAUCCCCAUGUAAGCUAACCGUGGAGAAACCCUCACUCUAGGACUCGGUCUUGGAGAUGGGAUUGGUCCAUACGAAUAGGCUGGUGAGACACGAGGUGAGAGAUUGACUUGCUCCAAUGCUUGUGCCUGUAGCUCCACUGGAUAAUCUCUAACACACCCAAUUCUUGGACCGUAUCCACUUGACCAUUUACAAGAAAGUCUCUUCGCAUGAUCAAACACUGGUCUCGCUCUCUCUUCUUGCCCUGAAGGCAACUCAACUUCUUCUGAUACUUCUUUUGGUUCAUCUUCUUCUUCAGUAGUGGAUUUGAAUGACGACGAAUACUCUUCAUUCACAGCACAUCUCUGCAAUACAUAUUAAAUUUAUAUCUCGUUAAUACAAAGAUGUCAAGAACACGAAAGAAUGUAAUGUUUUUAUUUGUUUCCUUACCUUAACAUUGGUGAGAACAACAUUGUGCUCCUCCAAGAAACUUAUGAACUCCUUGAAGUUUUCUUCUGUUGGGAGAUAGUGUCCACUAUAUGGCCAUAUAGCCUGAAGAGGCGUAAGACCAUUUUAGUUUACACAAGAUGAGAUUCAUACACGAUGGAGAAGCAAGACAUGUAACUUAAGUACCUCAAGGAUCCCAUCACGGGCCACCAAUCUUCCUGCAGCGGUUGUGGCUCCUCCAGAUAAGAAACUAGAGUGCUGGAAAACGCCUUUCUUCUUCUUCCCUACGUAUAAGGUUCUAGUCGUGCUAAGUACAAAUAUGGACUUUGAUUCAUCAGUUGAGUUGAUCAGAUCCAUGCUUUGUUUGUACAUUAGUCUCCCAUCUUCCACUAUCACUUCAUAUGCUUCUCUCUCCAUCUGAACGUUUGAAGAAACCACAAAGAGUGAUGAGUAAUCAAGAAGGUAAACCUAGCUAACUAG